GACGAACGCUGGCGGCGUGCUUAACACAUGCAAGUCGAACGGUAAGGCCCUUUCGGGGGUACACGAGUGGCGAACGGGUGAGUAACACGUGGGUGAUCUGCCCUGCACUUUGGGAUAAGCCUGGGAAACUGGGUCUAAUACCGGAUAGGACUACGCGAUGCAUGUCGUGUGGUGGAAAGCUUUUGCGGUGUGGGAUGGGCCCGCGGCCUAUCAGCUUGUUGGUGGGGUGAUGGCCUACCAAGGCGACGACGGGUAGCCGGCCUGAGAGGGUGUCCGGCCACACUGGGACUGAGAUACGGCCCAGACUCCUACGGGAGGCAGCAGUGGGGAAUAUUGCACAAUGGGCGCAAGCCUGAUGCAGCGACGCCGCGUGGGGGAUGACGGCCUUCGGGUUGUAAACCCCUUUCAGCACAGACGAAGCGUAAGUGACGGUAUGUCCAGAAGAAGCACCGGCCAACUACGUG
rnacentral:rRNA from 1 species